rnacentral:rRNA from 1 species
AUUGAACGCUGGCGGCAGGCUUAACACAUGCAAGUCGAGCGGAGAUGAGGUGCUUGCACCUUAUCUUAGCGGCGGACGGGUGAGUAAUGCUUAGGAAUCUGCCUAUUAGUGGGGGACAACAUUCCGAAAGGAAUGCUAAUACCGCAUACGCCCUACGGGGGAAAGCAGGGGAUCUUCGGACCUUGCGCUAAUAGAUGAGCCUAAGUCGGAUUAGCUAGUUGGUGGGGUAAAGGCCUACCAAGGCGACGAUCUGUAGCGGGUCUGAGAGGAUGAUCCGCCACACUGGGACUGAGACACGGCCCAGACUCCUACGGGAGGCAGCAGUGGGGAAUAUUGGACAAUGGGCGAAAGCCUGAUCCAGCCAUGCCGCGUGUGUGAAGAAGGCCUUUUGGUUGUAAAGCACUUUAAGCGAGGAGGAGGCUACCGAGAUUAAUACUCUUGGAUAGUGGACGUUACUCGCAGAAUAAGCACCGGCUAACUCUGUGCCAGCAGCCGCCGUAAUAC